UAUAUUUUGGUGUAUGAAGCACGGAAAUUUUUGAUAUUUCAAGGAAUAGUUUAAUUCUGUUAAAUAUAA
rnacentral:tRNA from 2 species